rnacentral:rRNA from 1 species
GUCGAGGGGCAGCGGGGUAGUGCUUGCACUACUGCCGGCGACCGGCGCACGGGUGAGUAACACGUAUGGAACCUGCCCGCAGCAGGGGGAUAAGCGGAAGAAAUUCCGUCUAAUACCGCGUAACAACGUUGGGAGGCAUCUCCCGAUGUUUAAAGAUUUAUCGGCUGCGGAUGGCCAUGCGGCGCAUUAGCUAGUCGGCGGGGUAGCGGCCCACCGAGGCGACGAUGCGUAGGGGUUCUGAGAGGAAGGUCCCCCACACUGGUACUGAGACACGGACCAGACUCCUACGGGAGGCAGCAGUGAGGAAUAUUGGUCAAUGGCCGAGAGGCUGAACCAGCCAAGUCGCGUGAGGGAAGACGGCCCUACGGGUUGUAAACCUCUUUUGUCGGGGAGCAAAGAGAGCCACGUGUGGCUCAUUGAGAGUACCCGAAGAAAAAGCAUCGGCUAACUCCGUGCCAGCAGCCGCGGUAAUACGGAGGAUGCGAGCGUUAUCCGGAUUUAUUGGGUUUAAAGGGUGCGCAGGCGGAGGUGCAAGUCAGCGGUCAAAUUGCGGGGCUCAACCCCGUACUGCCGUUGAAACUGCAUCCCUUGAGUGCGCGAGAAGUAUGCGGAAUGCGUGGUGUAGCGGUGAAAUGCAUAGAUAUCACGCAGAACUCCGAUUGCGAAGGCAGCAUACCGGCGCGCAACUGACGCUCAUGCACGAAAGCGUGGGUAUCGAACAGGAUUAGAUACCCUGGUAGUCCACGCAGUAAACGAUGAACACUAACUGUUCGGCC